UAUACCAAAUGUAUUCUUAAGUAUCUGUUCAUACGUAAAAAAGCGUUGGCAUAUGAACAUAUACUUGGGAAUACAUUCGUUCUGUUUGGACGCUUUUUAACGGACGUUA